UACGGGGGGGGCAAGCGUUGUUCGGAAUUACUGGGCGUAAAGGGCUCGUAGGCGGCCAACUAAGUCAGACGUGAAAUCCCUCGGCUUAACCGGGGAACUGCAUCUGAUACUGGAUGGCUUGAGUUCGGGAGAGGGAUGCGGAAUUCCAGGUGUAGCGGUGAAAUGCGUAGAUAUCUGGAGGAACACCGGUGGCGAAGGCGGCAUCCUGGACCGACACUGACGUUGAGGAGCGAAAGCCAGGGGAGCAAACGGG
rnacentral:rRNA from 1 species